GUCGACGCAAACAGUUUGACAGUUCUCUUCAGCUGGUCUUGUUUGGACUUGAUUGCAACCGAAUCGAACCAGUUAUUGUUAAUGUUGGGCUUCGGAAGGAUUUUGACCGGUUGAUAGGACCUAAUCAAAAAAACUCGAGAGUUGUGCUUCUUUUUCUGUCGGAAAGUUCCGGCCGGAGUGGGAAAGUGGCCAAAUUAUAGUUUCUUAUGCUCCAGAUAUUCAGAAUUCGGUCUUCGUGGCGGUGGAGGAGAAGGACGAGACGCAUGAAUCCGGCGAGCCAGGUCUUCGUGGCGGAAGACGGGACCGGAAGGAACCGAGCUUAUGGAGGAUAUGGUUCAUUCCAAAGGAGGAGGAGGAUGAAACAUCGAGUGUCAAAAGUUCUACCCAAGGUAACCAAAAAUUUUCCAAUCUGAUCCUGCUAACAAACCAGCGUCUUUGUGUUGUCCCACGCAGUUUGUUGAACGGAAGCUGUAACGACCGCAAAAC